CAGGUGUCAAUCAAGGAGCACACAGAUGGACAGCUUGAGUGUGAAACAGCUGAUUUUGUCCUUGAAGAAGUUGCUGUCAGAUGCUUUUUCUGCUCCAGCAGUCACUGGCUCACACAUUGUUUCACUUCCCUUUAAGAAGCCUCUCAUGCACAUCAGCACA